CCAAUAGCGUAUAUUAAAGUUGUUGCAGUUAAAAAGCUCGUAGUUGAAUUUCGGGAUCAAUGCGUCGGUCGUGCCUUCGGUACGUACUGGCGUCAUCGAUUCCUCCCUUCUUGAAGAACCGUGAUGUCAUUAAUUUGGUGUUACGGGGAAUCAGGACUGUUACCUUGAAAAAAUUAGAGUGUUUAAAGCAGGCUAACGCUUGAAUACAUUAGCAUGGAAUAAUGAAAUAGGACGUUCGAACCUAUUUUGUUGGUUUCUAGGAUCGACGUAAUGAUUAAUAGGGAUAGUUGGGGGCAUUAGUAUUCAAUUGUCAGAGGUGAAAUUCUUGGAUUUAUUGAAGACUAACUACUGCGAAAGCAUUUGCCAAGGAUGUUUUCAUUAAUCAAGAACGAAAGUUAGGGGAUCGAAGACGAUCAGAUACCGUCGUAGUCUUAACCAUAAACUAUGCCGACUAGGGAUCGGAUGAUGUUAAUUUUAUAAUGACUCAUUCGGCGCCUUACG
rnacentral:rRNA from 1 species